UGCCUUCCUAUAGCUCUUCGACUUUUCUACUACAUUAAUUCCUCUUGGUAUUCCACCUGCUGCUUACAAUCAAUGGCUCUCAAGGCGUUCCUCCUCCUCUUCGUCACCAUUCUCCUAGUUACUACAAUGGUUUCGUCUCAGGACAAUCCUGAAGAGGAACUCAAGGCAAAGAGUAGACCAACGAAGCCAAAAGCCAAGACACCAUC